UACGGGGGGUGCGAGCGUUGUCCGGAAUCACUGGGCGUAAAGGGCGCGUAGGUGGUUUGAUAAGGGUGUGGUGAAAGUCCGGGGCUCAACCCCGGAUCUGCCGUGCCGACUGUCAAACUCGAGGACUGUAGAGGCAGACGGAAUUCCGGGUGUAGCGGUGGAAUGCGUAGAGAUCCGGAGGAAGACCGAUGGCGAAGGCGGUCUGCUGGGCAGUUUCUGACACUGAGGCGCGACAGCGUGGGGAGCAAACAGG
rnacentral:rRNA from 1 species